UAGAUUCAAGUUAAAGAAGCAAGGAUGUCAAAUGAAAUCAAUUAUUACAAUGAAAUGUAUGAAGUAAACGGUCUUCAGUACGAUGUAGUAGAGAGUGCAGAAGUGCAUAAAAUGUUAGAAAAUGACGUUACAUUCUGUUACGAAUAUUAUUCUAAGAAUAUAUCAUCUAUAGAAGUUGUUGGUGUAUGUAACGAAAAGGUGAAAAAUUUUUCAGCAGUCAGUGCUAUAAGGAGGUUAGGUUACACAAGACUGGAUGCCGCCAUAUUAUGAUCACUGAACAGUCCAUUCAGCAGAAAAUCGCAACAUGUUCCCAACUCAUCGAUACCCCUAUGUGAGUUGUUGCGACGAACGUUAGUCGAAAUUACCCGUUGCGAUGCAAACGCGAUAUAUCAGGUGUUUCUUGAUAAACGACGUUGAUCGAUUCAGGUACCAGCGAUCGAUGAAACGAACGAAGGACGACUGCGCUCCGUAGUCUGCGGAUACGACGGAUGUGUCCCGAAUCAUUUU
rnacentral:misc_RNA from 1 species